rnacentral:rRNA from 1 species
GACGAACCGUCCGAACGUUAUUCGGAAUCACUGGGCUUAAAGCGCGUGUAGGCGGCUCGGCGCGUCGGACGCUGAAAUCCCCCGGCUCAACCGGGGAAGUGGCGCCGAUACGGCCGGGCUGGAGGGGGGUAGGGGGGCCUGGAACUUCGGGUGGAGCGGUGAAAUGCGUUGAGAUCCGAAGGAACGCCCGUGGCGAAAGCGAGGCCCUGGACCCUUUCUGACGCUGAGACGCGAAAGCCAGGGGAGCGAACGGG